GAUGAACGCUGGCGGCGUGCUUAACACAUGCAAGUCGAACGAUGAACCGGGUGCUUGCACUCGGGGAUUAGUGGCGAACGGGUGAGUAACACGUGAGCAACCUGCCCCUGACUCUGGGAUAAGCGCUGGAAACGGCGUCUAAUACUGGAUAUGUCCCGUCACCGCAUGGUGUGCGGGUGGAAAGAUUUUUCGGUUGGGGAUGGGCUCGCGGCCUAUCAGCUUGUUGGUGAGGUAAUGGCUCACCAAGGCGUCGACGGGUAGCCGGCCUGAGAGGGUGACCGGCCACACUGGGACUGAGACACGGCCCAGACUCCUACGGGAGGCAGCAGUGGGGAAUAUUGCACAAUGGGCGGAAGCCUGAUGCAGCAACGCCGCGUGAGGGAUGACGGCCUUCGGGUUGUAAACCUCUUUUAGCAGGGAAGAAGCGAGAGUGACGGUACCUGCAGAAAAAGCACCGGCUAACUACGUGCCAGCAGCCGCCGUAA
rnacentral:rRNA from 1 species